rfam:Metarhizium robertsii ARSEF 23 MAA_Scf_1, whole genome shotgun sequence.
GGGCGGAUGGUUUAAUGGUAUAAUACUCCCUUAGCAAGGUUUAUUCACCGAGUUAUUUGGGAGUGGUUCGGGGUUCGAUUCCCCGUUCGUCCA